GGCCCCCAGAUUCCUCCUCCUGUUUGUGAGCUCCUAAGGUGACCCUUUGGCUCCUGAGCAACCAUGACACCCUUGGCUACACCAAAGCUCAUUGAAAAUCAUUACAGAUGGACUCCAUGAACCAGUGUUUAGAAAGCGCUGCUAUAUGUUUUUAGGAAUACAUAGGGAAUUUGGUAGGAAGAUUACUCUGCCUCAGGCAUAUUCGGAGUCUCAUGGGGGUAUCUGUGAAGAAGACGAGCACAAGAAAGCCUAAGUUCAGUACACACAGUAGGACUGAAUCAGAAUUCUUAUGGUCACAAAAGCCUCUUCUGAGGGUAAGAAAUCAGCAAAAACUCCAAAUCAGCAAAGGAAACAGACUUAAAAUACAUGCUCAUUUCCAAAAGGUCUGACUCCAUUCUUCUUUUUGCCAAUUUUUAGAUCCCAUAUAAUCUUGGAUAGAAAAAUGAUCUAUACUGCAUCAGAAUCAUGGAACCUAUUGGCAAAGGGCAUUCUGUCCCUUCAAUUGUAGCUUCAACCUCAUUGUCUAAUAAAUAAUAACUACCA
ensembl:lncRNA LINC02650 long intergenic non-protein coding RNA 2650